rnacentral:rRNA from 1 species
AGUGAACGCUGGCGGUAGGCCUAACACAUGCGAGUCGAACGGCAGCACAGUAAGAGCUUGCUCUUACGGGUGGCGAGUGGCGGACGGGUGAGGAAUACAUCGGAAUCUACUUUUUCGUGGGGGAUAACGUAGGGAAACUUACGCUAAUACCGCAUACGACCUACGGGUGAAAGCAGGGGAUCUUCGGACCUUGCGCGAUUGAAUGAGCCGAUGUCGGAUUAGCUAGUUGGCGGGGUAAAGGCCCACCAAGGCGACAAUCCGUAGCUGGUCUGAGAGGAUGAUCAGCCACACUGGAACUGAGACACGGUCCAGACUCCUACGGGAGGCAGCAGUGGGGAAUAUUGGACAAUGGGCGCAAGCCUGAUCCAGCCAUACCGCGUGGGUGAAGAAGGCCUUCGGGUUGUAAAGCCCUUUUGUUGGGAAAGAAAAGCAGCAGGUUAAUACCCCGCUGUUCUGACGGUACCCAAAGAAUAAGCACCGGCUAACUUCGUG